GUGUUUUGUGGAAAAUUGAAAGUUGAGGUAUAGGACUUGCUCUGAGCAUGUGUUGCUUUUCAAGGCUCCACAUGAACCUGAGCGUUUAAAAAAGUGGCAACAGGCGAUUCCAAGAGCAGAUAGUUUUGCAGCCUACUGACCGCGUGUGUACGAAGCGCUUCCCGUAUGGAGUGAUCUCUGUGGCACAUCACGCAGAAUACAAGGAAAACGUCCUUCUGUACUCUCAAAGGAAACCUGUGCUUUCACCCGACGCGGUGCCUAGCAUUUUCCCAAACUGCCCAAAAUACCUGAUCGUGCAGCAAAAAACCGAGAAAACGUCCACAAAAACAGAAAGCCCUUCUGCCAACGUUUCAGAAGCAAGGGCAGCCAAAAGCAUUUAAUGCUUUUGAAGAGCUUUACUUGACUGUUGAAAAUACGCCAAAUUUAUUGCACUAGAGACAACAAGUUCAGAGCAUGCUGAUGCCGAAUCAACAGGUGUGCUGCGUAAGCGGCCACGCUUUGAUUUCAGCAGUGUUGUGCACGCUCCAUGUGAAGAAGAGAUGCUUUUCAACACGACACUGACACUUUGAGUGGCACAUGCACUGUCGACGCACUUAAUCAUCCAGCCAAAAAGAGCAAGAGAGCAGUCGUGGACCAACAGAAGAGCAGCAAUACACAGAGUCCCCGUUGCUCCAGGUCGAAGAACAGCCAAUGAUAAUUUCCACUCUGUCAAGCUGUGCUUCCAGCCUUCAACUUCCAGGUGAAGCCUGGGCAGUCCAAGUUUGAAAGAUUUGUGGUUAAUCUAUUGUUUUCACUGAGCUAGCAUUGCCAAAAGAGUGUAACCAGGCACCUUUUCAUAGAAAAGCACUUGAAGUGACCACAUCACAUAAUGACUUUGUCAGUGAAAUGUUUUGUUUAGGACCAUAUUGUUAAUGUACGGGGCAUAAGUUCUGGUUCAAUUCCCUAACUGGUAUAGAAUGUGCAGUGUGGGUCUUUCAUGCAAUACACAUAUAAUAUUGUAUAUUAAUACACGUCACGUAAUAAUAUGCACCCAGAGUGCACAUAUAUUGACAAAUGUGGAGCCUGAUAGCACAGCAGUUUCACACUCGUGAAAGAGAGUACAAGUUGAAAUGCUUGUGUUAAAAGAUGUGCUUCAUAUUCAUACAGCAUGAAAAUUUAAAAAAAAUUCUCAACUGAAACACAUUAGCAUUCUGGCCUGUCCAUCGAAAAAAACCUGCAUUGAAAAGUUGCAGCAAGCCAGGAUUGCCUGCUACAAGUCAAAAGAAUGGCUAAGUGCAAAUAAAAGCUACUAGAAAUCAAUAAUGAAACACUGGAACACCUUCCCGGAGAAGCAAACCUUCCUGAAGUGCAAAAGCUAGUGUUGAAGGAGUGUGUGACUGCAGGCAAAGCUCGCUCAAAAAAUGAUAGAAGAUACUCGGAUGACUGGAUCUUGCUCCGCCUUGUCCUUCAUAUUAGGUCACCUGCAGGAUACAGAUUCUUAAUGGAGAGUGAAAUUCUUGCCUUCAAUAUGAGUAAUACACCACUGCAUCUCAUUGGUGGUCUUUAAAACAGGUUUUGAUUGAAAGUUCUUUGUAGCCUUAAAAACUAAACUUGAAAAGAAAGACUGCUUCAAGCAUCAUGGUAUUAUCAUCUUCAAUGAGAUGCAAGUCCGUAAAGGUAAAAAUGGUAACUCAAAGACAAUGACAAUGCCACAUUCUAUCCCGGCUAGGAUACCAAAUACCAAGAAAACCACAACAGGAAAACCGCGAACUUCUUCCGCUUAGCAUUCGCAACAAAAUUCAUGUGGCCCCAAUUCCCUGGAAUAUGCACCCUGACUGUUAUAAAGGUCGACGAAAGGCAAGAGCACAAGCCCUGGCUCGCCUAUUUGGCGAUGACAAAUCAAACACUGCAGUCCUAUACACCGACGUGGCCCGCUACCCACAAAAACGUGCCCUAUGUCUAGUCGUACUAGAUAGUGUAGAUAUUCUGAGAGCUUCGGCCACGCUCAACACUGUGGACAGUGGCACGGCGGAAGAGGCUGCUAUUGCCCUAGCCAUCGUAUACGCUUCAACCAUGAAGGCGCCGGAUGGACCUAUCACAGUGGUCACUGAUUCUCAGACCGCCUGCAGGACUUUGGCACAAGGGAGGGUGACACCCUACACACACCGCAUCGUUACAUCAUUACACCCCACAGCGUUACACAGGGUGCGUAUCGUCUGGACACCUGGACACGCCUCUCUCCGUGGUAAUGAACGUGCUAAUGCGGUAGCCCAAGAGCUCGCUAACCGGGCGCCAUUGGAAGAGCUGACCCACCCAGACGACACACCGACAGAACCACUGAACUACACUGAAACUCUACAAUAUUACAGAGAGACCAGGAGACACUUCCCUCCACCACAUAAUUCCCUUAAUCGAGAAGGUGCCGUCACAUGGCGACAGCUUCAAACUAAUUCAUUUCCCUGCCUUUUUUAACUUCACCUCUUCCACCCCACACAAUAUCCCUCAUACUGUCCCUAUUGUGGAGCAAAGCCCACAGUAUAUCAUUGCACCUGGGAGUGUCCACACCCUCCGGGCUACUCCCCUAUUCCUUCACUUUCCCCUUCCUCCUGGGAGACUGCGCUGACCAGCUCAGACCCGUAAGAGCAGCGACGGCUGAUCCGGCGGGCACGCGGAGUGGCGCGAGGCAAUGGGGCCCUGAACUAAGGGCUCCAUCCUGCGAGGAAGUCACCCAAACUCAGGAUAAAUAAAUGUUUUCUCUCUCUCUCUCUCCUUCAAGCACUUUCACUUAUGGACAAAGCUGGAGCAAAAAUUCUUGGCUUUGUGAUGUAGCUUCGGCAAAUGGGAAUAUGUGGGAAACGCUCAGUAUAAGUGAAUAACGAGAAGCCUGCCGGAACUCCUUCACACAUAAGUGACCCCACAUGGAAAGUUUUUGCAUUUUCUGAUGCUCCACAUCUCAUGCAAUGAACCAGAAAACAACUUUUCAGCUAAGGUAACUGAAGAAGGAGGGAUGUUGGAUAAGGUGGGAGGACUGUGCAGCAGGUUAUAAAGAAGACUAAGUGAAUGUUGGAGCUCUGAAAGUAUGUCCAAAAACAUGUUCUCACAUUUAUCCAAGCAACUGCAAUAAGAUGCGGGUGAGGUUUGCUACGCAAGUGUUCAGUUGCUCGAUGGCAUCAGGUAUUGAAUUUUACAGAAACCAUGGUGGGAGCAAUCUGGGAAACAGUAAAGCCACGCAAGAAUUCACAUUGUUUGUUAACCCUUUCGCUGUCGGACCUUUCUGGCCGUGACGCACCCCCAGUGACGGAUUGGUUUCAGGGAACGAGCAUAACAGGGAAUGAACAUAGCAAUUUAUUUUUGAUUAUAAUUGGUAUACAAAUAACAUAGUCAAUGCAAUAUGCACAUUUCAGUGUUCUGCAGCUGUUGUUAGUAAACAUCAUCAUCAUCAUCAGCCUGACUAUAAAAUCCGCUCAACAUCUGAAUCUGACGAUGCGGAACCCUCUUUCUCGCAUGCGACUCUGUCCGAGUCCGAAUCCGAGCUCGGCUCGUAUUUUGAAUCGGAAUUGAGCGACCGCUCCAAUGAGCAGACGAAGGUCCCGCGCGCUCAGCCAUCCGAAAGUAACCGCGCGCAGGGAGGAGGAUGCGCUUUCAGUCGCCCGCACAAGAGAAAUGGGACGUUGCGUGAACAACAAGACAGAGGGAGAUGGAAAAAGGCUAAACAAAGUUCGAAGGGCUUUACAUUUACUGCUGCCAGUCGGAAGCAAGGGUGCGGCGAGAGAGCGAAAGCAGCAAUCGAGUCACUCUUUUCGGAGAGGCAACGGCACGUGCGCCUGAACUUGACGCGCCGCGCCGUAGCAGACACACCAACAGAAGAAAAAUAAAAACCUUCAAACCAGCGGAGAAGGCAGAACAACCCUUGAACCCAUAACCACACGCGUGCGACGCAUGAUCCAGUGAACGCGGAGCCACCGCGCCACUCAGCAAAGAGAAAGUGGGGAGUAGCAGUCGCACUGUACUCUUCAAUACAUGGACUUAGACAGGUCGGGGCGAAUAUACGAACUUGUAGAAAGAGUCAACAGAUAGCGUGGCCAAUCCAGGAGCACCAGCUUUGCGCUGAGGCGCGAAAUUUUGAACGCAGGAUAGAGAACGUACCGGUACGUCAGUGACACUGUGAGGGGGAAGCGCGAUGACGUACCCGUACAUCCGUGACAGCGAAAGGGUUAAUAAUCCUAUUGUUGCCUUGAACCCCUAGUUUCCUCGCGAAGGAUUCGCAAUGCAUGACUCUGACCUAGGCAUUUAGUUGAUGAAAACCACCAGUUGCUCUUUGUUGCCGAUCUGCGUCUACCAUUCCAGAGAACAGCUCUGUCGAGCAUUCCUGACCAACACAGAGAGCAGAGGUGGACUGUUGCACCCCAACUUGAAGUUUGUUCAGCUGUUGGGAACAACUGAGCAGUACUUUGCCAAAAAUUCAGACGGUCAGUCUGUAUAUUGGGAAACGGAGCAUGUGCUUGACACAAAGAGCGUGACCUUUCCAUCUGCUGAGCCCAAAGAAGAGGUCAUUGCAGACAUUCUGCCCUUAACAAUGAGAAUGCGGCAGCACUCUGUAAGGCCGUAAGCAUGAACAUUAAGGAGCAAGCUGAAGAGAAAAGAAAGCUAGCAAAACUUUUUUCAUCCCAAAUUUUGUUGCAAAGUUUACAGUAUAAACUAAUAUGUGUUAUAUUUCUUGUGAAUGUAUGUUGCAAACACUUUGUGCCUUGUAAUAUAUAGUUCUGUGGCAAAAUAAAGUGUGUUAACCCCUUG